rnacentral:rRNA from 1 species
GUCCACGCCUUAAACGAUGAAUACUAGACGUUGGGGUUAAACUCAGUGUCGCAGCUAACGCAUUAAGUAUUCCACCUGGGGAGUACGAUCGCAAGGUUGAAACUCAAAGGAAUUGACGGGGGCCCCGCACAAGCAGUGGAGCAUGUGGUUCAAUUCGAUGCAACGCGAAGAACCUUACCUAGGCUUGACAUGCUAGCUAAAGCGAAUGAAAGUUCGUGUCCCGCAAGGGGAGCUAGUACAGAUGCUGCAUGGCUGUCGU